rnacentral:rRNA from 1 species
AGGGAAUCUUGCGCAAUGAGGGAAACCUUGACGCAGCGAUGCCGCGUGUGGGAAGACGGCCCUAGGGUUGUAAACCACUUUCAGCAGGGACGAAAUUGACGGUACCUGCAGAAGAAGCCCCGGCCAACUACGUGCCAGCAGCCGCGGUAAUACGUAGGGGGCGAGCGUUGUCCGGAUUUAUUGGGCGUAAAGAGCUCGUAGGCGGUUCAGUAAGUCAGAUGUGAAAACUCAGGGCUCAACCCGGAGACGCCAUCUGAUACUGCUGUGACUCGAGUCCGGUAGAGGAGUGUGGAAUUUCUGGUGUAGCGGUGAAAUGCGCAGAUAUCAGAAGGAACACCAAUGGCGAAGGCAGCACUCUGGGCCGGUACUGACGCUGAGGAGCGAAAGCGUGGGGAGCAAAC